GGUGCUUGCACCCCGCUGACGAGCGGCGGACGGGUGAGUAAUGCAUAGGAAACUGCCCAGUAGUGGGGGAUAGCCCGGGGAAACCCGGAUUAAUACCGCGUACGCCCUUCGGGGGAAAGCAGGGGAUCUUCGGACCUUGCGCUAUUGGAUGUGCCUAUGUCGGAUUAGCUAGUUGGUGGGGUAAAGGCCUACCAAGGCGACGAUCCGUAGCUGGUCUGAGAGGAUGAUCAGCCACAUCGGGACUGAGACACGGCCCGAACUCCUACGGGAGGCAGCAGUGGGGAAUAUUGGACAAUGGGG
rnacentral:rRNA from 1 species